UACGUAGGGGGCGAGCGUUGUCCGGAAUUAUUGGGCGUAAAGAGCGUGUAGGCGGUUCGGUAAGUCUGCCGUGAAAACCUGGGGCUCAACCCCGGGCGUGCGGUGGAUACUGCCGGGCUAGAGGGUGGUAGAGGCGAGUGGAAUUCCCGGUGUAGCGGUGAAAUGCGCAGAUAUCGGGAGGAACAUCAGUGGCGAAGGCGGUCUGCUGGGCCGUUGCUGACGCUGAGGCGCGACAGCGUGGGGAGCAAACAGG
rnacentral:rRNA from 1 species